CAGGUACAGCGGGAAGCCACCUGGCGACAGGGAGCGGAACCCGAAAGCCUGUCUCAGUUCGGAUCGGAGUCUGCAACCCGACUCCGUGAAGCUGGAUUCGCUAGUAAUCGCGCAUCAGCCAUGGCGCGGUGAAUACGUUCCCGGGCCUUGUACACACCGCCCGUCAAGCCAUGGGAGCCGGGGGUGCUUGAAGUGCGUCGCCGCAAGGCGCGCCCUAGAGCAAAACCGGUGACUGGGGCUAAGUCGUAACAAGGUAAC
rnacentral:rRNA from 1 species